rnacentral:rRNA from 1 species
AAUGCUUGUCUCAAAGAUUAAGCCAUGCAUGUCUAAGUAUAAGCAAUUAUACAGCGAAACUGCGAAUGGCUCAUUAAAUCAGUUAUCGUUUAUUUGAUAGUGCCCAUCUACAUGGAUAACCGUGGUAAUUCUAGAGCUAAUACAUGCGUAAAAGCGCGACUUCGGGAGCGCUGUAUUUAUUAGAUUAAAGACCAAUGCCCUUCGGGGCUCACUGGUGAUUCAUGAUAACUCCUCUGAUCGCACGGCCUUGCGCCGGCGACGGCUCAUUCAAAUUUCUGCCCUAUCAACUUUCGACUUUAGUGUAGUGGACUAAAGUGGUUGCAACGGGUAACGGAGGGUUAGGGCUCGACCCCGGAGAAGGAGCCUGAGAAACGGCUACUACAUCCAAGGAAGGCAGCAGGCGCGCAAAUUACCCAAUCCCGACACGGGGAGGUAGUGACAAUAAAUACUGAUACAGGGCUCUUUCGGGUCUUGUAAUCGGAAUGAGUACAAUCUAAAUCCUUUAACGAGGAGCAAUUGGAGGGCAAGUCUGGUGCCAGCAGCCGCGGUAAUUCCAGCUUCAAUAGCGUAUAUUAAAGUUGUUGUGGUUAAAAAGCUCGUAGUUGAACCUGGGCCCCGUCCCGGCCGGUCCGCCUCACCGCGUGCACUGGUUCGGGAGGGGCUUCGCACCUUGGGGGUACGCAUGCCCUUCGCUGGGCGUGCGGGGAACCAGGACUUUUACUGUGAAAAAAUUAGAGUGUUCAAAGCAGGCCUAUGCUCGAAUACAUUAGCAUGGAAUAAUGAAAUAGGACGUGCGGUUCUAUUUUGUUGGUUAUGGGACCGCCGUAAUGAUUAAUAGGGACAGUCGGGGGCGUCAGUAUUCGGUGGUCAGAGGUGAAAUUCUUGGACCCACCGAAGACUAACUACUGCGAAAGCAUUCGACAAGGAUGUUUUCAUUAAUCAGGAACGAAAGUUAGGGGAUCGAAAACGAUCAGAUACCGUUGUAGUCUUAACCAUAAACUAUGCCGACUAGGGAUCGGGCGAUGUUGCUUACUGACUCGCUCGGCACCUUUCGAGAAAUCAAAGUCUGUGGGUUCCUGGGGAAGUAUGGUGGCAACGCUGAAACUUAAAGAAAUUGACGGAAGGGCACCACCAGGGGUGGAGCCUGCGGCUUAAUUUGACUCAACACGGGGAAACUCACCAGGUCCAGACACAGCGAGGAUUGACAGAUUGAUAGCUCUUUCUUGAUUCUGUGGGUGGUGGUGCAUGGCCGUUCUUAGUUGGUGGAGUGAUUUGUCUGCUUAAUUGCGAUAACGAACGAGACCUUAACCUGCUAAAUAGCUCGCGCCGCCCCGGCGGCGCGCCGGCUUCUUAGAGGGACUAUCGGCUCCAAGCCGAUGGAAGUUUGAGGCAAUAACAGGUCUGUGAUGCCCUUAGAUGUUCUGGGCCGCACGCGCGCGACACUGACAGGGCCAGCGAGUCCCACCUUGCCCGGAAGGGCCGGGUAAUCUUGUUAAACCCUGUCGUGCUGGGGAUAGAGCAUUGCAAUUAUUGCUCUUCAACGAGGAAUCCCUAGUAAGCGCAAGUCAUCAGCUUGCGUUGAUUACGUCCCUGCCCUUUGUACACACCGCCCGUCGCUACUACCGAUCGAACGGCUCAGUGAGGCCUCCGGACUGGCCCGGAGCAGUCGGCAACGACCGCUCUGGGCCGGAAAGCUGUCCAAACUCGGUCGUUUAGA